GCGUGCAUAGUGUUUACUUCAUAUUUUUCAUUAACAAUUGUUGAAAACGUGAUACUUAUUUAUGAAAAGUAGUAUUUAUUUAAAAAUGGUAAAUAAAUGUAUUGUUCAUGGGUGUACAAGUGGACUAGUCAAGUUUCGUAAUAGGAAUGCUAAAUUAAAUCGGAGAAAUACGUCUUUAUUCACUGUACCACAGCACCCUGAUCUGGUAAAAUUUCGGAGUAGUGGAUUAAACCAGCAAUUAAUACCAAAAAAACAAUACGUUUGUGAGUUACACUUUAACGAAGAGGAUAUCAUUAAGAGUGAUAAAAUAAAAAUGGCUAAUGGGAUUGAAGAAAUAUUUAGGGAAAGGUAUUCACUUAAGCCCGAAGCUAUUCCAACGUUAAAUCCUACCAAGUUGUGUAAAAUCAGGAGUAAUACUAAUAGUAGUAGUAAUACAGUUAAAACUCCAAAUGUUGUAUGUGAUAUACUAUCAACAAAUGGAAGUGUUAAUAAUGUUGAUACCAGUGGAAGUGUAGCAAAGAAAAAUGAGAAAAUGAUAAUAAUUAAUAAUUCUGUGGUAAAAAUUGUGACCGUCCAAAAAGUACAGUUGCUUCACUAACUUCUGAAGAAAUUAAUAAUUAUGAGAAUGAAGAACAGAUAAAAAAAAUUCUUCACACGAAUUGCCUGGUUCAAAGAUUGAUGUUAAGAAGUAAUCUACAUCAACAAUUAUUAAUGUGCUAGAAUUCAAAGCUUUACCAAAAAAAUGGCUAAAAAGUAAAGUAAAGAAUUUGAAAUUUCGUGUUACAAUUAAUGACAAAUCCAAUAUCUCGAUUAAAUCACUCUUACAAAUAAUUAAAGCGCAAAAAGUGAACUCUAUGGCAAAUAAAGAUGAAGCUUUAAGAAAUGAGAUUUCUAUCCCACCUCCGUUACAACAAUUAGCAGUCCGUGCUUGUUUUAACGCUGUAAAGGCUAAAACUACAAAACAAAGAAGAUAUACGGUACAUUGGGUUUAUGAAUGUUUAUUACUUUGCAUAAAAAAUGCAUCUGUGUAUGAUCGACUCAGAGAAAGUUAAAUCCUCUCUUUUCUUUGCAAAAACACACUUAAUAGAUACAUCCAGAAGUUGGGAAAACUCAGUAUUUCUGCUGGUAAAUGUCGGAAUAAAUAAUUAAAACAUACAUCAAAUUUAUGUAAUAAGUGACUUUCUAGAAUAUUCACUAUGGCACGGUCUCGGAGUAAUCCAUCACCAGGACCAGGGACAGCGCGUUAUACGCACGUCGGUUGUUACUCCGCGCAACCAGUGACCAAAACAGUACCUGGAGAUUUGAAAUUAUUCGUAGGACUUAAAAAGCAAUCGUCGCAAGUGAAUUAAAAAUAUCUAUUACUUAUUUAUUUUAAGUAGCCUUUUAUGCUAUCCUAAUUUACAUAACUCAACUUACAGAUUUCAUCAAUAACAGUUGCUAAUUACAUAUAAAAAAAAAAGAAUGAUAAACAAUUUUACAUUAUAAACGAAUAAAGCUAACAAAAAUAUAAUAGAAGAAAUCUUAUAAUCCACUUCUGUAUGGUAUAUCCUAAAACAUGGAUCAACAUAUAACGCUACAUUACAUUCCUUGCAUUCAUACCUGGUUUCUCUACCAAUUCUGUGAUUACUGCAUACUGCACAUUUUCGAAGAGGAUUUUUUUUUUUUUUUGGCAGACGGAUUCAUAUAUUUGCUUGAACAAUACCUUUCAAUAAGACGUAAUGGGCUACCAUCCAUAUUACUACCUCUUCGGGCCCAUAGAACUCUUGUAGUCUAGAAUACUUACGUCUGCUGUAUAUAUCGAUGGGCUCCUAAGAACGUAUAUAUACGCCUACCGUGCAUAUUGAUGGAUUUCGCAGAACGUAUAUUUACGUCUACCGUAUAUAUUGAUGGACUUCUAAGAAUGUAUAUAUACGUUUACCGCAGUGAAAGGGUUAAAAAUGUUGGAAUUUAAAGCUAAUGACAAAAAACUACUUAAGAAAAAAAGCCGGAACACAAGAAGGAGAAAUUUGCAAAUGAAAGAGAAGAAGUUAAAAAAUUCUUGUUCGCAAUCACUUCCAGUACUCUUACCAUAUUGAAAAUGACCUUACAAGCAACUCUUGAACUGGAAGAAUUUUUACACAAAGAAUGCAACUACGAAUAUUUAUUUAUUGACGUCUCACCUUAAUCAAGAUCAACUGGAAAAAUUUUUUGCUAUCAUAAAAAGUGUUUGUUGCUGUAAUGAUCAUUCAGACACCAUUCUAUUUGGACAGGUUCUCCAAUGACUAUGUUCAUAUUUGCUAGUCACCAAAAAGUCACAAAAGAGUCUAAUGUGAGGUCAUUUCAAUAGUUUGCCUUUAAGAUGUUAAAAAUAAAAAAGAAAUGUUGUUCUAAUAAAUAAUUGAGUAGUUAA
rnacentral:misc_RNA from 1 species